rnacentral:rRNA from 1 species
UACGGAGGAUCCAAGCGUUAUCCGGAUUUAUUGGGUUUAAAGCGUGCGCAGGCGGUUUGUUAAGUCUGCUGUGAAAUCCCCGAGCUCAACUUGGGAAUUGCAGUGGAUACUGGCAGGCUGGAGUAUGGUAGAGGAAGGUGGAAUUCCCGGUGUAGCAGUGAAAUGCGUAGAGAUCGGGAGGAACACCAGUGGCGAAGGCGGCCUUCUGGACCAAUACUGACGCUCAUGCACGAAAGCGUGGGGAGCAAACAGG